UGGUGUAGGUCGCAGAUGUGGCUCGGAUCUGGCAUUGCUGUGGCUGUGGUGUAGGCCGGCAGCAACAGCUCCCAUUGGACCCCUAGCCUGGGAACCUCCAUAUGCUGCAGGUGCGGCCCUAAAAAGACAAAAAGACAAAAAAAAAAAAAUUUAGCUGAAACAUGAGACAUGAUUAGUUUGGACUAGCGUUUCCCAAAGUAUGUCCCACUGGCUGUUAGCAGAUUAGUUUUAUAUAUAUAUAAAGCAGAUAUGUAUAUAUAAAGCAGAUUAGUUUUAUAUAUAUAUGGAUUCUGUGAUUCGCUCUGUGAUUGAGACUAGGUGAAAUGCAUUUCCUACUGUUGGACUAGCAUCAUGAAAGAGUCUUAUCUGGAAUUUCCAAGAAAAGUAGUAUUUCCCAAGCAGCUUUGCUCAGCUCUCCCUUUGGGAAAGGCUAACCCAGUGGGGUCAGUCCACUGGGUCAGACUGAGCCUGGACCCCGGCAGGGCUGUCCUGCCACCUGCCCUGUCUUCCCCCUGCCAGCCCCCUCCCUCCAGCGCUUCUCCCUGAAGAACGGGAGCUGGGGCACUUUCGGUCGCAUCACAUGGGAGCUGAGACGCCAUCGUCUUCUCUGCUCAGCCCCCGGUCGAGCGGCUUCGGAAGGGGCCAUCCUGUCUUUGCUUCAGGCUUGGAGACGGCAGAUGCAUCUUCUCUCCCUCAGGUUGAAGUGAAUCUCAGGGCAGGCUGGAAAGCUUCUGUGGUUUUAAGCUAACGCAGAGUGGAGGCCCCUCGUUUCAGGAAUCAAUUGAUUGCCCUGAAUUCUUACCCAAUCGUUGACCCGCUAAACCCAAUCCCUGUGAACGUGGCUGCUGUCUCCAAGUUGGGAAUUCUGCUUGAAGUCAAUCAUUCCGUGGGAAAAUUCCAAAUCAACAUGAGACGUAUCUGAAAAAUUCACCCCGAAGAGCAAGGAAGCUACCCAAGAGGAAGAGGACCGUGGUGGAAAAAGAGUCUCACGCACUCAGUUUACCCGUUCCAUUGCGGCAGUGGGUCUGAUGAUAUCAUGUGUCUGGAAAUGUUACCAGCCAGCUGAACAUCUCCUGCAGUUUGUAACAUGACCUUGGGCUGUGCUUUAGAAGAACAUCAGUCAUUAUGGAAAACAGUUCCAUCCAGGCACAGCUCACUCGCAAGACAGAAGAUGCAAAGGGAAUAAUUGAAAACUCACUUGAGCUGGACCAACCAGAUAAUUUGCAGAUAUCCUGGGGUUUCAAAUGGCUAUAAUUUACCUUCUCUCUAAGCGUCUAAUGAGAAUCUUUUCUAUAGUUUAAAAAAAUAUCUCUGGAGCUAAGGCCCAAACAUUUUACACUCAUUUUUUCAUUUGGAGAAACCACUCAAGAAGAUAAACUGAAUCACAUGCUUGGUGGCUGGCAGCUGAAGAGGUGGAAGUUUUUGAUGUUGGUGCUGGGCUGACGCAUGAAACGCCCCGUUGUAUGUAGUUCCAGGUGCUUCAGAGUGGCACUCGGACAAAGCGAACCCUGAGGGUCAGCUUUUCCAAAACAAGUAUAAGUCCAUUUCAUGACGUCUGGAAGGUUCUUUUCCUUGGAAUCAGGUGGCGCUAUUUUAGCAAAAAAUCAUGCCUGACUUUAUUUGGUCCUAAAACAACAGAAAAAAAAAAAAAAAAAAAAAA